rnacentral:rRNA from 1 species
UACGUAGGGGGCGAGCGUUGUCCGGAGUUACUGGGCGUAAAGGGCAUGCAGGCGGUCGGACGCGUUUUGUGUGACAGCGGGAGGCUUAACUUCCCGAGGAUACGAAAGACGGUUGGACUUGAGGGCUCGAGAGGGACACGGAAUUCCGGGUGGAGUGGUGAAAUGCGUAGAGAUCUGGAGGAACACCGAAGGCGAAGGCAGUGUCCUGGCGAGCGACUGACGCUGAGGUGCGAAAGCCAGGGGAGCGAACGGG